UCCCUUUUAGUUCAGUUGGUAGAACGCCGGACUGUUAAUCCGUAUGUCGCUGGUUCAAGUCCAGCAAAGGGAGCCA
rnacentral:tRNA from 24 species